CACGUAGGCACCGAGCGUUGUCCGGAUUUAUUGGGCGUAAAGAGCUCGUAGGCGGUUGAGUAAGUCGGGUGUGAAAACUCUGGGCUUAACCCAGAGCCGCCACUCGAUACUGCUCUGGACUUGAGUUCGGUAGGGGAGCAGGGAAUUCCUAGUGUAGCGGUGAAAUGCGCAGAUAUUAGGAGGAACACCGGUGGCGAAGGCGCUGACUCUGGGCCGAAACUGGAACGCUGA
rnacentral:rRNA from 1 species